UGCUGAGAUGAUUAUGCAGAUCUGAUAUAGGGAAAAACUUCAGCAACUCACCCAGAUUCUGCUAUCCCUACAAGGCUGCAUCGGAACGACCAAAGAGGAGUCUAGGGUAAGAAGGAGAAUGUAGAGCUCUGCAUAGUUCACAAUUGUUACCUGACCUCUUAAGCUUUUUAUAUGUUGAAGACUGAUGUUUUACAUCAAGACUCCAAAGGUGAAGGUUCUUGUGGAAGUUUAAACUACUGAUUUGAGACCUUUCUUCUUUACUAAUGUAAGUACUCAAUACAGAUCUUCCUUGACUUACAAUGGGGUUAUGUCCCAAUAAACCCAUUGUAAGUUGAAAAUAUCAUGUCAAAAAUUCAUUCAAUACAUCUAACUUACCAAACAUCAUAGUUUAGCCCAGUCUACCUUAAAUGUGAACAGAGCAUUUACAUUAGCCUAUAGUUGGGAAAGAUUAUCUCAUCCAAAACCUAUUUUAUAACAACGUUUUGAAUAUUUAAUGUAAUUUAUUGAAUAACAUACUAAAAAUUAAAAACAGAAUGGCCAUAUGGAUACAGAAUGGUUGUAAGCAUAUCGGUUGAUCACCCUCCUGAUCAUGUGGCUGACUGGGAGCUGUGGCUUACAAGAGAGUGUUGCCAGCCCUGGAAAAGA